rnacentral:lncRNA from 1 species
UUGGUAAUUUUGAUUUUGUUACAAAAGGAGAUGUACUAUUAUGCGUUAUAUUGUACAUGAAAUUCCUUUCAACCUACCAACCAUUGUGAUCAAAGUAAUGUAGGAGACAGCUUCUCAUGUUAAAUCAGCUCUACUUUAUGGGAUGUUCUCACUUUUGCAUUCAAGGAGUUUAGAAUCAACAUUGAUGGUGAACUCUCAAAAAAAAAUUAUAGCAUUUCGAUACUUACAAUGAGCACUCACUAAGCAGAAUGGGUUACAUUAAAAUUAAUAGUCAUUGGAUCCGAAAGGAGGGGAA